rnacentral:rRNA from 1 species
CCCUUAGAUGUUCUGGGCUGCACGCGCGCUACACUGAUGCACUCAACGAGUUUACGAGCUUGUCCGAGAGGAUUGGCUAAUCUUUUUAAAAUGCAUCGCGAUGGGGAUAGAUUGUUGCAAUUAUUAAUCUUCAACGAGGAAUUCCUAGUAAGCGCGAGUCAUCAGCUCGUGCUGAUUACGUCCCUGCCCUUUGUACACACCGCCCGUCGAUCCUACCGAUUGAAUGCUCAGGUGAAUAAUUCGGACUGCAGCAGUGUUUGGAUCCCGAACGCUGCAGCGGAAAGUUUAGUGAACCUUCACACCUAGAGGAAGGAGAAGUCGUAACA